rnacentral:lncRNA from 1 species
CUUGGUAUUAAAAAAAAAAAAAAAAAGUAGCACAAGCAGAGAAAGAAAGAAUCAAAGCCUCAAGCGUCAUGUCUAGGAAUAGCCUCGGAGCCAGGCCAAGUCAUUAUAGACGAUGAGUAAUCCGGUUAAGUCAUUUCUCUAAACACCAUUCCUUCAAAGUCGUGGGCGUGGCGAUGACCACCAGCGGAGCUUCUGGAGUCCUGAGGGCAGGAUUAUGAUGAAUUGGGGAGAGAUAGCUGAUCAAGAAGCUGCCUCUUCACAUCCAGAGCCUGUUGUCUGAGACCCCUCCAGGGCCAACAACAUGAGGUGAGUGCCAGACUCCGUGCCAGCUGUGAGCCAGACACAGGUAUCCUCCCACUCACGGUGGCCCUAACCUGGAUCCUUACCAGGUAAGGCUGCUGGGGCCCAGAGACUGCCCACUGGCUUCCCGAGCUGGCCCCCAAGGCAGCAUAGAAUAAUUGAAGCUUAGAGUGACUGAAAGUACGAGGCAGGCCAGGCCCAGCUCUAAGCUCCUUACACACAUUCACUCUUGGCAGUAAGUUAGGCCCUUUUAUUAUGUAUGUAUUUUAUUAUUUAUUCAUUCACUCAUUCAUUCAUUCAACCAAAGGACAAGGGGAUGCACAGACACGUUCACAAGUUCCCAGGAGGCUGCAUUCAGUCUCAGCCAGGCUACUGGAACAGGAACCGCCCAGACUCUGAAGCCAGGCAGACUGUUUUGCCAUCCUGGUGCCCCCUUUUGCAGUGCAACUACGGCAGCACAGCUUCUAGAUGAGCUAUUUCUUAUAAGGAGCUUCGAACCGUGCACGGCAGGAGGAAGGUCUCCAUAAAUGCCAGCUCUUCUCCGGAGCCCAGAGCAAAGCAGCAGGCAUGGCAUGAGCCAGGCCUCCGGGAAGAAAGACAGGAAGCCCGGGUUCCUGGUCUAGCUCUAACAAGCAGGCAGACCAUUUGGUCCUGGAAGGCCCCUGCCCACCCCACCUUCCCUUCUGUUGUAUGUGUCAUAUUUUGUUGGCUCUGGGGGCUUUUCUGAAAAAAAUAAACAAGGGCUGCAUGAACCCCCUACUAUUCUG